UAGACAGCACUGGAGAAUUAAGACCUCUAUUUGUGCAUAGGGUAGGUACAGCAUGGCACUGUCAAUGUAAACUUCUCCAUUUCUGCCCACCAAUUGCACUGCAAACAGGGAUGAGAUUGCAAUUCAUUCCACAUCAAUUCUUAACUUCUCUGCA
rnacentral:sRNA from 1 species